AUUCCUACGGGAGGCAGCAGUGGGGAAUUUUGCGCAAUGGGGGAAACCCUGACGCAGCAACGCCGCGUGAGUGAUGAAGGCCUUCGGGUCGUAAAGCUCUUUUAGUGGGGAAGAAUCCCACCCGGGCUAAUACCUCGGGUGUCUGACGGUACCCACAGAAAAAGUUCCGGCUAACUACGUGCCAGCAGCCGCGGUAAUACGUAGGGAGCAAGCGUUGUUCGGAAUUAUUGGGCGUAAAGAGCGCGUAGGCGGUUCGGUAAGUCUGACGUGAAAUCCCGGAGCUUAACUGUAGAACUGCCAUUGAUACUGUUAGUCUUGAGUAUGGUCAAGGUAGGCGGAAUGUGUAAUGUAGCGGUGAAAUGCUUAGAUAUUACACAGAACACCGAUUGCGAAGGCAGCUUACUGGACCAUUACUGACGCUGAGGCACGAAAGCGUGGGGAGCGAACAGGAUUAGAUACCCUGGUAGUCCACGCCGUAAACGAUGAUCACUCGCUGUUGGCGAUACACAGUCAGCGGCUAAGCAAAAGCAUUAAGUGAUCCACCUGGGGAGUACGGCCGCAAGGCUGAAACUCAAAGGAAUUGACGGGGGCCCGCACAAGCGGAGGAACAUGUGGUUUAAUUCGAUGAUACGCGAGGAACCUUACCUGGGCUUAAAUGUUGAGUGCAUGGGGUAGAAAUAUCCCUUCCCUUCGGGGCUUUCAGCAAGGUGCUGCAUGGUUGUCGUCAGCUCGUGCCGUGAGGUGUCGGGUUAAGUCCCAUAACGAGCGCAACCCUUAUCGUUAGUUGCCAGCGGGUAAUGCCGGGAACUCUAACGAAACUGCCGGUGUAAACCGUGAGGAAGGUGGGGAUGACGUCAAAUCAGCACGGCCCUUAUGUCCAGGGCCACACACGUGUUACAAUGGCCGGUACAGAGGGCAGCUACCUGGAGACAGGAUGCGAAUCUCCAAAGCCGGUCUCAGUUCGGAUCGGAGUCUGCAACUCGACUCCGUGAAGCUGGAUUCGCUAGUAAUCGCGCAUCAGCCAUGGCGCGGUGAAUACGUUCCCGGGCUUGUACACACCGCC
rnacentral:rRNA from 1 species